rnacentral:rRNA from 1 species
UAGGGAAUUUUCGUCAAUGGGCGCAAGCCUGAACGAGCAAUGCCGCGUGAACGAGGAAGGUCUUCGGAUCGUAAAGUUCUGUUGAAGGGGAAAAAGAGCGGAGAGAGGAAAUGCUUUCUGAUUGAUAUUACCCUUCGAGGAAGUCACGGCUAACUACGUGCCAGCAGCCGCGGUAAUACGUAGGUGGCGAGCGUUAUCCGGAAUGAUUGGGCGUAAAGGGUGCGUAGGCGGCCUGCUAAGUCUGGAGUGAAAGGUACCGGCUCAACCGGUACAGGCUCUGGAAACUGGCGGGCUAGAGAGCAGGAGAGGGCGGUGGAACUCCAUGUGUAGCGGUAAAAUGCGUAGAUAUAUGGAAGAACACCAGUGGCGAAGGCGGCCGCCUGGCCUGUUACUGACGCUGAGGCACGAAAGCGUGGGGAGCAAAUAGG